GCAGUAGCCGCGGGAAUACGAAGGGGGCUAGCGUUGUUCGGAAUUACUGGGCGUAAAGCGCACGUAGGCGGACAUUUAAGUCAGGGGUGAAAUCCCGGGGCUCAACCCCGGAACUGCCUUUGAUACUGGGUGUCUAGAGUAUGGAAGAGGUGAGUGGAAUUCCGAGUGUAGAGGUGAAAUUCGUAGAUAUUCGGAGGAACACCAGUGGCGAAGGCGGCUCACUGGUCCAUUACUGACGCUGAGGUGCGAAAGCGUGGGGAGCAAACAGGAUUAGAUACCCCCGUAGUCCCUGUCUCUUAUAC
rnacentral:rRNA from 1 species